rnacentral:rRNA from 1 species
GCAUAUCAAUAAGCGGAGGAAAAGAACCAACCGGGAUUGCCUCAGUAACGGCGAGUGAAGCGGCAAGAGCUCAAAUUUGAAAGCUGGCUCCUUCGGGGUCCGCAUUGUAAUUUGCAGAGGAUGCUUCGGGUGCGGCCCCUGUCUAAGUGCCCUGGAACGGGCCGUCAGAGAGGGUGAGAAUCCCGUCUGGGAUGGGGUGUCCGCGCCCGUGUGAAGCUCCUUCGACGAGUCGAGUUGUUUGGGAAUGCAGCUCUAAAUGGGUGGUAAAUUUCAUCUAAAGCUAAAUACUGGCCGGAGACCGAUAGCGCACAAGUAGAGUGAUCGAAAGAUGAAAAGCACUUUGAAAAGAGAGUUAAAAAGCACGUGAAAUUGUUGAAAGGGAAGCGCUUGCGACCAGACUCGCCUCCAGGGUUCAGCCGGCAUUCGUGCCGGUGUACUUCCCUGGGGGCGGGCCAGCGUCGGUUUGGGCGGCCGGUCAAAGGCUCCCGGAAUGUAGUGCCCUCCGGGGCACCUUAUAGCCGGGAGUGCAAUGCGGCCAGCCUGGACCGAGGAACGCGCUACGGCACGGACGCUGGCAUAAUGGUCGUAAACGACCCGUCUUGAAACACGGACC